rnacentral:lncRNA from 1 species
GGGCUGCUCUUCCCUCCUUGGCGGCUCAGGCUGCAGCAGGGCCCUUGGCGAUCUUCUCUACCCUCAGGUCGGCGUCGAAUGAACCUAUCGAGUCGACCUCAUCGAAUGAGUUCCUCGAUCUCGUCUCGGAGCUGGAUGCAUUCCUCCGUGUCGUGGCCGUGGUCACGAUGGUCGAGGCAGAACUUGUUAGGAUUGCACUUUUCGGGGUGCGUGCACAUCCUCUCUAGCCUUGGGAGCUGCUCUCUGACCUCCAUCAGCACCUGAGUUUUCAAUGCAUUGAGGGGGGCAUAGCUGCAG